AUCAAAUAACCAAAAGUACGAAAAUAAUGUCCAGUCCAAUUAUUUUAGUCCGAAAUAAAAGAUACUGAAAUAACCUAUAAUAACCUACACUAUUCCUAAACUAUGCUCUACCCGCCAAUGCCUCGGGCCUUGGUCACGAACCUCCUUCGAAGACAUGAUACGUCGGUGCAUUCCCCAGUGAAUAAAUAUAAUUUUUCUUCGGGGCAUUCCCCGACAAAUGAAUACAAAUUGCUAUUACGUGCGAUGAAUAGAAAUCAUUCAAUAGAACAUUCAAACAUUCAACGAACCACAAUUCUAAAUUUGCCUACCCCGCCUAUGUUUGCGUACCCAUUUGACAGUCUUAUUAUGAUACUGUCGUGUUCAACAACAUCCAUGUUUUAAUCAAAUUAAACCACACCAAUGAAUCUAAAUUAAUCCAUGUUCACUUUUAUCAAGAUCAAUCCCUCCACCUAAUUUCAUUUUUUGAUCAAUCACACAAUCAAAAUUGUUCAAGUUUAUUCCACACAUACCACCAAAUCACAUCAUCAAGCACAUAAUCACAACAUCAACACCAAAUUAAGAUAAAAUAGGAGAAAUAAAGUUGAAAAAAUUGGAACUCAGUUUUUUUUCAAUCUCCAAAUUGUUCGACAGAGCCAACGGAUUGAAACCGAAUUUAAAACCUCAAUUCAACAAACUCAACACGAACUUGCCAACUCAAUCAAAACCCCAAACCAGCGGAGAAACCACAAAAACUGAAACCCGAAUCUUUGAUUUUGAACCAAGCUUGAACGGGUCUCACCGGAAUCGGAGCUAAGUUCGUUAUUUCCAUUUUACCGGAGCUCAGGCGAUCUCAAACAGUGACUAAAAAAUGAACAGUUGGUCGAAUUUUUAUUGGAUUUUGGAGUGUUCUCACUGGUUUCGGCGUCUCUGGUGGUUUCGCAGUAGUGGGGUGGUGUAUUUCGGCGAGGUAUCGCUACAAUCCGGGCCUACGGAUCAGUUCCCCUUCUUUGCUUUCUCUCUUAAAUUCUCUCUCUAUCUCUUUCUCUCUAUUACCCAAUCUCUCUCAAUCCUCUCUGAUUUCCAUCAUCUCUUUUUAGUCCCACUCCAUUGUUCUUUUCUAAUUUUAUGUGUGCGUCGUUAUGUGUAUGUUUCCGGUGAACUCUAUGUCGAUUGGAGUAUAUUGCACUAUGUUUUCAGUGAGUGAUGGUGCGUGAAUCUGUAUAUCAUAAAUGGAAGUAUGUGUGUAUGUAUGGUCGGUCUUCACUAUAUAUGGAGUGUGUGUAUGAGUAUAAGCAUUUGUGGGGUGUGAGUGAUGUAGUGCGUGUCUAUGUGUUGAAUAGGUAUGAGUAUAUUCUGAUACAUUGCAAAGGAAAGCAAAAAAUGUGAACAGGGAGGUGAGGCUAGGGAGUACAUGGGAUGGGCAUGGGGUAGUUAGGAUGAGGUGAAAUUUGUUAAGGUGGGUGUCAAAAAAUGGUUAUGAAUUUGUUGUUUUCUUGUAUAGAACUUAUUAGAUGAUUGAGGGUGC
rnacentral:lncRNA from 1 species